rnacentral:lncRNA from 1 species
GUUCUCCUCCUCCUCUCCCCUUUGCGCCGUCGGGGCGAGUCCCAGAGCCGCCACCGCCAUGAUCGGACCGAAGCAAGCUCGACGUCGUCGUUGAUCGUCGCCCCCUUUCUUCCCUAGAUGGACCCGGAGAAUGCGGACGCCAGGGGCGACCCAUUUUGGCGAAGACAGGACGCUGAGGGCUUCUUCCACGACGUCCCCGACGACAGUUCUUCCACUCCCUCCGGCGAGCUUCUUCCACUCCGGCUCGUCAGCCACCCUCCUCUCCUACGCUGGAUCGUCUUCUCUGCCCCUAGGUGAGCCGCAGUCCCACUCUCGUCCACUCCCCUCUCUGUUAGUCGCAUCGUUGCUAGCUGAGCUCGAUCCCUGCCGGAGAUGCACCGAUAGGAUGAGGUAGCCGCAGCUGCAGCAUGCAUGUGUGCGUGCUUGGACAUCGCCCCCUCUCCACGACAAGGCCACGUCCGUAGCUCUAGCAGUUCCCCUCAUAGCGCGUCGCUGUCGCGUAGCCUACCGCUGUUGUCGUUUUCUUUCCUUUGGUGCAUCGGUUAGCAGCAGCAACACAGUAGUAGCAGAGCACGAGAGCUCGAGCUCCCACGCCUCCUUUGUGCGUAUAAGCCCCGGGAACGGAACCCCCUAGGGUUCUUGCAGCCCCGCCGGUAGUCAGCAGCCGCCGCCUUCGUCGCUCCACUCGCCGCCGACAACUUUCCCUCCUCUAUCUGGAGGUGGAAGAAGGGCACCGCCCUGAGAUAGAUCAUAAGGAGCUAAGCCCCUCCUCUGCCAGUAGCAGCAUCGUAGCGCGACUGGCAGCAGGUUGCGCGUGUGACCCUGAGAUAGUGGGUUCAAUACCAACAGCCCUUUUUGGUUUCGGUAGUUUUCGCGUAGUAGUUUAGAGAGCAGGACAGGUUCAUGGGACGGUGCGGCUCAGCUAGUUCAUCAACACCUCGCUAUCGUAGUGUCAACAGAGCCACGACUGCCCAUUUUGAUCGUGUGUUCGAGUCCCCUGGCGCCCCCCUUUUUUAUUAGGUAUUAUUUACCUAUGUUGGUAGUUGCAGUGUAUGCAUAUCCGCGUUACCCCCCUCUAUUGUGCAACUAGCCUGCGGUAGUCGAUUGGUAGUGUGUGUUUUGUGUGUGUGUGUGGGUGAGGUGGUGGGUACGACCCCUGCCAGACACCCUAUUUAUUUCGUGUUGAUUGUUGUGUGUGCCACUGACAACGGCCCACAUGAUCCAUGUCAUGUACUAGGGGCCCUGGUACCUAUGACAAACCCUUUUUAUUAGGUAUUAUUUACCUAUGUUGGUAGUUGCAGUGUAUGCAUAUCCGCGUUACCCCCCUCUAUUGUGCAACUAGCCUGCGGUAGUCGAUUGGUAGUGUGUGUUUUGUGUGUGUGUGUGGGUGAGGUGGUGGGUACGACCCCUGCCAGACACCCUAUUUAUUUCGUGUUGAUUGUUGUGUGUGCCACUGACAACGGCCCACAUGAUCCAUGACAUGUACUAGGGGCCCUGGUACCUAUGACAAACCCUUUUUAUUUCGUGUUGAUUGUUGUGUGUGCCACUGACAACGGCCCACAUGAUCCAUGACAUGUACUAGGGGCCCUGGUACCUAUGACAAACCCUUUUUAUUUCGUGUUGAUUGUUGUGUGUGCCACUGACAACGGCCCACAUGAUCCAUGACAUGUACUAGGGGCCCUGGUACCUAUGACAAACCCUUUUUAUUUCGUGUUGAUUGUUGUGUGUGCCACUGACAACGGCCCACAUGAUCCGUACUAGGGGCCCUGGUACCUAUGACAAGUGGGCCCCUGUCUGAUUAGGUCAUAGUAUAUUUUUUCAUUUUUUCUGUUGAUGUGAUAAUUCCAUUUUUGGAAUUGUCCAGAAAUGGAAUUGCCUAAUCUGGUUUAUACCAAAUCUGGCAGGUUCUAGGGCAUCCUUUGUUCUUGACAUGAAUAGAUUUGAUCCUGUGUAGUUUUUCUUUUCCGUGUUGUGGUGUUUUUCUGCAUGCAUAUGUAGCAAUGUGAUAUAUGGAUUUGGGGUACAAUGUCCUUAGUAAUCCAAUGGUGGCACUGAAUUCUAUAUUUCAGCAGUUCUGCAAAAGUGUCAUUUUGUGAUGAGUUGGGAUGUGGUGUGGAGUAGGAUUGUUUCUGCGCAUAUUUACAGUUUGUGCAUGCAUGCAUCAUUUUGAUUGUUGCAUAAUCUCUUGCUGGUGUUUAUUGGAUGAUUGUUUCUUUUGGGUAGCUACUGGGUCUGGAAACGAGUUCAAGGAGUCAGGUGAGUUCGUGCAGGAAGAUCACGAACAGUUCCACUCUGAAGUGGCCCCCUUGUCUGAUUAGGUUAUAGUAUAUUUUUUCAUUUUUUCUGUUGAUGUCAUAAUUCCAUUUUUGGAAUUGUCUAGAAAUGGAAUUGCCUAAUCUGGUUUAUACCAAAUCUGGCAGGUUCUAGGGCAUCCUUUGUUCUUGACAUGAAUAGAUUUGAUCCUGUGUAGUUUUUCUUUUCCGUGUUGUGGUGUUUUUCUGCAUGCAUAUGUAGCAAUGUGAUAUAUGGAUUUGCGGUACAAAGUCCUUAGUAAUCCAAUGGUGGCACUGAAUUCUAUAUUUCAACAGUUCUGCAAAAAUGUCAUUUUGUGAUGAGUUGGGAUGUGGUGUGGAGUAGGAUUGUUUCUGCGCAUAUUUAGAGUUUGUGCAUGCAUGCAUCAUUUUGAUUGUUGCAUAAUCUCUUGCUGGUGUUUAUUGGAUGAUUGUUUCUUUUGGGUAGCUACUGGGUCUGGAAACGAGUUCAAGGAGUCAGGUGAGUUCGUGCAGGAAGAUCACGAACAGUUCCACUCUGAAGUGGCCCCCUUGUCUGAUUAGGUUAUAGUAUAUUUUUUCAUUUUUUCUGUUGAUGUCAUAAUUCCAUUUUUGGAAUUGUCUAGAAAUGGAAUUGCCUAAUCUGGUUUAUACCAAAUCUGGCAGGUUCUAGGGCAUCCUUUGUUCUUGACAUGAAUAGAUUUGAUCCUGUGUAGAUUUUCUUUUCCGUGUUGUGGUGUUUUUCUGCAUGCAUAUGUAGCAAUGUGAUAUAUGGAUUUGGGGUACAAUGUCCUUAGUAAUCCAAUGGUGGC